UUGUGAGAGUGAUCUGAAUCAUCUGUCACCCCUCUGAAUGCUAGUGGCGAGUUGACUGAUCUAGCUGGCAAGAUGAGCAUCCCCAUCUUACCUCAUUGCACCAUGUGCAUUCCUUUCAAAGGUACAUACUUGGUAGAAAAGGAUGACCCUCCCAAAUAGCAGUAUAUUCUUCUUUGGUUAAGGCUUGUUCUUCAAUAAAACACCCAAACAAGUUUAAGAACUUUCCUUGCCAUCAUCCUCAGGUUCAGAUGAUGCUCUGUAGCAGAAUCUAAAUCUCU
rfam:Ophiophagus hannah scaffold3642.1, whole genome shotgun sequence.